CCUUCAUGUCCGAAGCUGGUGAAAGCCAAGUGCUUCUGCGGGAAAAUUGAAGAUGUUCGGCGCUGCGGAUUGAAAUUGUUUUCGUGUAACAAUUUCUGUGACAAGUUAUUGGAUUGCGGGAUUCAUAAGUGUAAAGAGAGGUGCCACGAUGGAGAUUGUCCUCCGUGUCAGGCUCGCGGCUUUUAUGGAUGCUACUGUGGAAGGAAGAAAGAGGAGAGGAAGUGCUGCGAGAGGGGAUUUCAAUGCGAGAAUCCGUGCGAGAGAUUGUUGGGGUGUGGGAAGCAUGUGUGUGAAAGAGGGUGUCAUUCAGGGGAGUGUGGACUGUGUCCUCUUCAGGGGAAGAGGACUUGUCCAUGUGGGAAGAACGUGUAUGAAGGAAUCGCUUGUGAUGUCGCAGUGCCGCUUUGCGGUGGUACUUGUGAUAAGAUACUGAGUUGCGGUUUACACAGGUGCCAUGAAAGAUGUCAUAGAGGAGGUUGCAUUGAAACUUGUAGACUUGUGGUGACCAAAUCGUGCCGGUGCGGGGGCUUGAAGAAAGAGGUUCCAUGCUAUCAAGAUUUGACCUGUGAGAGAAAGUGUCAGAGAAUGAGAGAUUGUGGACGCCAUGCUUGUAAACGACGCUGCUGUGACGGGG
rnacentral:misc_RNA from 1 species